rnacentral:rRNA from 1 species
GAUGAACGCUGGCGGCGUGCCUAAUACAUGCAAGUCGAGCGAACAGACGAGGAGCUUGCUCCUCUGACGUUAGCGGCAGACGGGUGAGUAACACGUGGAUAACCUACCUAUAAGACUGGGAUAACUUCGGGAAACCGGAGCUAAUACCGGAUAAUAUAUUGAACCGCAUGGUUCAAUAGUGAAAGACGGUUUUGCUGUCACUUAUAGAUGGAUCCGCGCCGCAUUAGCUAGUUGGUAAGGUAACGGCUUACCAAGGCAACGAUGCGUAGCCGACCUGAGAGGGUGAUCGGCCACACUGGAACUGAGACACGGUCCAGACUCCUACGGGAGGCAGCAGUAGGGAAUCUUCCGCAAUGGGCGAAAGCUUGACGGAGCAACGCCGCGUGAGUGAUGAAGGUCUUCGGAUCGUAAAACUCUGUUAUUAGGGAAGAACAAAUGUGUAAGUAACUAUGCACGUCUUGACGGUUCCUAAUCAGAAAGCCACGGCUAACUACGUG